rnacentral:rRNA from 1 species
GUUGCGGUUGAAAGCUCGUAGUUGGGUUUCUGCGGAGGAAGCGCGGUCCGCACUUGGUGCGUGUAUCUGGUCUACCUACGCAUCUUCCAGUGAAACGCUACUGCGCUUUAUUGCGUGGCGCGGCAAUCUGGACUUUUACUUUGAGGAAAUUGGAGUGUUUACAGCGAGCGAUUGGUUUGAACAUAUUAGCAUGGAAUAAUAACCUAGAACCUUGGUUCUAUUUCGUUGGUUUCUAGACUAGGGUAAUGAUCAAUAGGGAUAAUUGGGGGCAUUUGUAUCAACACGUCAGAGGUGAAAUUCUUGGAUUGUGUUACGACGAACCACUGCGAAAGCAUUUGCCAAGGAUGUUUUCAUUGAUCAAGAACGAAAGUGCAGGGAUCGAAGACGAUUAGAUACCGUCGUAGUUUUUUCCGUAAACUAUGCCGAUUAAAGAUUGGAGGUCGUUCUUAUUGUGGCUCCUUCAGUAAUUUAUGAGAAAUCAAAAUUCUUGGGUUCCGGGGGGAGUAUGGUCGCAAGGCUGAAACUUAAAGGAAUUGACGGAAGGGCACCACCAGGAGUGGAGCCUGCGGCUUAAUUUGACUCAACACGGGGAAACUCACCAGGUCCAGACAUAGCAAGGAUUGACAGAAUGACAGCUCUUUCUUGAUUCUGUGGGUGGUGGUGCAUGGCCGUUCUUAGUUGGUGGAGUGAUUUGUCUGGUUAAUUCCGUUAACGAACGAGAUCUUAUCCUGCUAAAUAGGAACGUGUGUCUUCGGACAUGCAGGUUGCUUCUUAGAGGGACUUUGCGAAUUGAAGCGUAGGGAAGGUUGAGGCAAUAACAGGCCUGUGAUGCCCUUAGAUGUUCUGGGCUGCACGCGCGCUACACUGAUGCGUUCAACGAGUAUGCCUUGUCCGGCAGGACUGGGGAAUCUUGUGAAAGCGCGUCGUGAUGGGGAUAG